GAUGAACGCUGGCGGUCUGCUUAACACAUGCAAGUCGAACGGGUGUAGCAAUACAUUAGUGGCGGACGGGUGAGUAACGCGUGAGAAUCUACCUUCAGGACGGAGACAACAGUUGGAAACGACUGCUAACCCCCGAUGUACCGCAAGGGCAAAUAUUUAUAGCCUGAAGAAGAGCUUGCGUCCGAUUAGCUAGUUGGGGGGGUAAAGGCCCACCAAGGCGACGAUCGGUAGCUGGUCUGAGAGGACGAUCAGCCACACUGGGACUGAGACACGGCCCAGACUCCUACGGGAGGCAGCAGUGGGGAAUUUUCCGCAAUGGGCGCAAGCCUGACGGAGCAAGACCGCGUGGGGGAAGAAGGCUCUUGGGUUGUAAACUCCUUUUCUCUGGGAAGAACAAAAUGACGGUACCAGAGGAAUCAGCAUCGGCUAACUCCGUGCCAGCAGCCGCGGUAAGACGGAGGAUGCAAGCGUUAUCCGGAAUGAUUGGGCGUAAAGCGUCCGCAGGUGGCAGUUCAAGUCUGCUGUCAAAGACCGGGGCUUAACCUCGGAAAGGCAGUGGAAACUGAACAGCUAGAGUAUGGUAGGGGCAAAGGGAAUUCCUGGUGUAGCGGUGCAAUGCGUAGAGAUCAGGAAGAACAUCGGUGGCGAAGGCGCUUUGCUGGACCAUAACUGACACUCAGGGACGAAAGCUAGGGGAGCGAAUGGGAUUAGAUACCCCAGUAGUCCUAGCCGUAAACGAUGGAUACUAGGUGUUGUCUGUAUCGACCCGGACAGUGCCGUAGCUAACGCGUUAAGUAUCCCGCCUGGGGAGUACGCACGCAAGUGUGAAACUCAAAGGAAUUGACGGGGGCCCGCACAAGCGGUGGAGUAUGUGGUUUAAUUCGAUGCAACGCGAAGAACCUUACCAGGACUUGACAUGUCGCGAAUCCUCCUGAAAGGGAGGAGUGCCUUCGGGACCGCGAACACAGGUGGUGCAUGGCUGUCCUCAGCUCCUGUCCUGAGAUGUUGGGUUAAGUCCCGCAACGAGCGCAACCCUCGUGUUUAGUUGCCAUCAUUCAGUUGGGCACUCUAAACAGACUGCCGGUGACAAACCGGAGGAAGGUGGGGAUGACGUCAAGUCAGCAUGCCCCUUACGUCCUGGGCUACACACGUACUACAAUGGUAGGGACAGAGGGCAGCCAACUCGCGAGAGUGAGCUAAUCCCGUAAACCCUGCCUCAGUUCAGAUUGCAGGCUGCAACUCGCCUGCAUGAAGGCGGAAUCGCUAGUAAUCGCAGGUCAGCAUACUGCGGUGAAUCCGUUCCCGGGCCUUGUACACACCGCCCGUCACACCAUGGAAGUUGGCCACGCCCGAAGUCAUUACUCUAACCCGCAAGGGGGGAAGGAUGCCGAAGGCAGGGCUGAUGACUGGGGUGAAGUCGUAACAAGGUAGCCGUACCGGAAGGUGUGGCUGGAUCACCUCCUUU
rnacentral:rRNA from 1 species